rnacentral:rRNA from 1 species
UACGUAGGGUGCGAGCGUUAAUCGGAAUUACUGGGCGUAAAGCGUGCGCAGGCGGUUCGUUGUGUCUGAUGUGAAAUCCCCGGGCUCAACCUGGGAAUGGCAUUGGAAACUGGCGGACUUGAGUGUGGCAGAGGGGGGUGGAAUUCCGCGUGUAGCAGUGAAAUGCGUAGAGAUGCGGAGGAACACCGAUGGCGAAGGCAGCCCCCUGGGCCAACACUGACGCUCAGGCACGAAAGCGUGGGGAGCAAA